GUAGGUGAACCUGCGGAAGGAUCAUUAACACGUAUCCACGUAUCAACCCCUUUGUGCUUUUUCGUUUAUUUAACCCUGUCUUGAACUGCUGAUCCUGAGGCUUCACCGAUAGAACGUUGAAUGGUUUUGGGCGCAAGCCCAAAGUUCUGGUGUCGCUGUUGCACUUCGGUGCAUCGGGUUGGUGGUUCUACCGUACAGGUUACAAAUGUUAACCAUUCGGCAUUGCCCCAUUAAUACUAACCCCUUUAAAAAUCUUGCUAACUUAAUUUGAUUUUGCUUUUGUCUUCGGACGAAACGAAUUCAAUAUUACGAAAUGCUUGACAACUCUUAGCAACGGAUAUCUUGGUUCUC
rnacentral:misc_RNA from 1 species